rnacentral:rRNA from 1 species
AACGAACGCUGGCGGCAUGCCUAACACAUGCAAGUCGAACGAGACCUUCGGGUCUAGUGGCGCACGGGUUCGUAACGCGUGGGAACCUGCCCUUAGGUUCGGAAUAACUCCCCGAAAGGGGUGCUAAUACCGGAUAAUGUCUUCGGACCAAAGAUUUAUCGCCUUUGGUUGGGCCCGCGUUGGAUUAGCUAGUUGGUAGGGUAAAAGCCUACCAAGGCGACGAUCCAUAGCUGGUCUGUGAGGAUGAUCAGCCACACUGGGACUGAGACACGGCCCAGACUCCUACGGGAGGCAGCAAUGGGGAAUAUUGGACAAUGGGCGAAAGCCUGAUCCAGCAAUGCCGCGUGAGUGAUGAAGGCCUUAGGGUUGUAAAGCUCUUUUACCCGGGAUGAUAAUGACAGUACCGGGAGAAUAAGCUCCGGCUAACUCCGUG